AGAGUUUGAUCCUGGCUCAGAGUGAACGCUGGCGGCAGGCCUAACACAUGCAAGUCGAGCGGCAGCGCGGGGGCAACUCUGGCGGCGAGCGGCGGACGGGUGAGGAAUGCAUCGGAAUCUGCCCUAUUGUGGGGGAUAACCUAGGGAAACUUAGGCUAAUACCGCAUACGCCCUGAGGGGGAAAGCGGGGGACCGAGAGGCCUCGCGCGGUAGGAUGAGCCGAUGCCGGAUUAGCCAGUUGGUGGGGUAAUGGCUCACCAAGGCGACGAUCCGUAGCUGGUCUGAGAGGAUGAUCAGCCACACUGGGACUGAGACACGGCCCAGACUCCUACGGGAGGCAGCAGUGGGGAAUUUUGGACAAUGGGGGAAACCCUGAUCCAGCAAUGCCGCGUGUGCGAAGAAGGCCUUCGGGUUGUAAAGC
rnacentral:rRNA from 1 species